AACGAACGCUGGCGGCGUGUCUUAAGCAUGCAAGUCGAGCGGCAAGCGCAGCAAUGCGCCUAGAGCGGCGGACUGGUGAGUAACACGUGGGUGAUCUACCUCGGGGUUGGGGAUAGCCAUUAGAAAUAGUGGGUAAUACCGAAUACGAUCGUCAAGCCACGGCUUGACGAUGAAAGGCGCCACGGCGCCGACCUGAGAUGAGCCCGCGUCCCAUUAGCUAGUUGGUGAGGUAAUGGCCCACCAAGGCUAUGAUGGGUAGGCGGCCUGAGAGGGUGUACGCCCACAUUGGGACUGAGAUACGGCCCAAACUCCUACGGGUGGCUG
rnacentral:rRNA from 1 species